CGCAUGUUCCAAGACUUCGCCAGACAGCGUCCUCAAGACGUCAAAAUGCUCAAGACCAUGGCACAAUCUUGGGCAAACAAAGAAGACAAAGAGAUCGAAAGGUUCAAGUCGAAUUGAAAUCAAGGCCAACACAACAACAAUCAAGGCAACGGCCAGGACCAUGACAAGAACCGUAAUGCUGACCAUCGGAAUAACUACUCGGGAGGGCAAAACCGCAAGCGCAAGCCAGACAACACUGUCG
rnacentral:lncRNA from 1 species